UCGGGAGUCUUGCACAAUGGGGGAAACCCUGAUGCAGCGACGCCGCGUGCGGGAUGAAGUCCUUCGGGACGUAAACCGCUUUUGUCCGGGAAGAAGUUCUGACGGUACCGGACGAAUAAGCCCCGGCUAACUACGUGCCAGCAGCCGCGGUAAAACGUAGGGGGCGAGCGUUGCCCGGAUUUACUGGGCGUAAAGCGCGCGUAGGCGGCUGCGUAAGUGGGG
rnacentral:rRNA from 1 species